AGGGGUAUAGCUCAGCAGUAGAGCGUGUGCUUAGCAUGCACGUGAUCUUGUAUUCAAUCCCCAGUUCCUCUA
rnacentral:tRNA from 1 species